GAUAAUCACCUCCACAUAUCAGACGCGCAAAACACUGAAAUCCUGCCGAAAACACUCAUAAACACAACUAUGUCACACACACGUGUCUUUUACGUCAAUUAAAGCACAAAAUUAAAGAAAACGAAGCUGUUUAGCACUGCUGUUGAGAACACAAGCAGCAGAGCAGAGCGGCGCUUCCGGUGGCGUCACACGCAUGCGCGCCUCACGCGGUCUGGAGCGGAGCUGCAGUGCACUUGCGCAGACAGUCACAAACACGAGAACAAAAACACACCAUAAACAUACAAACGGCGAGGAAUAUUGUAAUUAACAAAUUGCAAACAAUUGUAGCAUUUACAAUAUGAUAAUAUAGUUUGAGAAUCUAAUUUAAUCUUUCAAACAAAACCUAGCCUCAUAUGUGUCAAUGGGUUUUAAUCGUCCUCAAAACAUUUUUACGACACUGUUUUAAAAGGGUUUUAAAUUGGUGUUGGACACAAACGAACAAGCCCACUGCUGAAAAAACACAUUUGACUCUUAUAUAACCUCACCGUUGCUGAGCUCUCCACUUCCGGUUGUGGCCAUGGCGAUCGGUCGUGCUAAGAAGCUAAAUGUGCUAAUGGACUGCCUGAUCUGAAAUUAAACGUGUUCUUUUGCAGAAAACACAACUAACUGUUAAUGAUGUACGCGAGUCGACGGUGUUUGGACAGAAUAUUCUCAGUUGUUCUUCUGGCUGUGGUUCUCUUAUCUUGGGGUUUUGUCAUCUACAGCGCACGAGCUGCUGCUCAAUGGGAGCUGGAGAAGAGAUUCCAGAUUCAUUCAUGAAAUCCCGAAUGAAAUGACUGCUGCUGUGACAUGUGUCCUGUUCAGUUCCUCUUCCAGAAUUCACAGGACUUUUGUACUUGCAGGAUUUGCAUUCGGAGAAUAAAAGAUCAUCAGGAAAUACAGGAGAAAUGUGAAUGAACAUCCUAAACACACCACAUUAUAAAAUAAAUGUUUAUCAUUUGCAUAAUAAAGAGUUUGAUGUGA